rnacentral:lncRNA from 1 species
UGCUAUGCUUAUUUGAGGACCCAAGGAUGAGUGGAUCAAGGGCUUUUGUGGGCACAUUGGCUUUGCAGAUAUCUUAAAGGCCGAGUUGUUGGGUCUGCACUUUGGGUUGAGAAUUGCGUGGGAGGAGAAUUGUAGCAAUGUUCUAUGUGUUUCUGAUUCACUACUGCAUGCGGUUCAGUUGAUAAAGCAGCAAGUUCAAGGCUACUAUAUAUGCUGCUAUUGUAGAGCAUAUUAGAGACUUCUUGAAGGGUGGAGUUGAAGCAUUCUCUGGGAGAGGGGAAUCAGUGUGCGGAUGCCCUAGCCAAGAAAAGGGUGAUCAUGUUCCACGAUCUUCUUCUUUUGGAGUUAGCUUCCUUACUUUGGGUUGACGUCAUGCUAGUCUCUUUCUUGAGGCUUUAGUUAUUGUUUUCUGGUUUUGCUUUUUCCUUCAUCUACCAAAAAGUAAGAGGAAAUUAUUCUCAUUAGUUUCCUUUUUAUUUAUGUCGUUACCCCAUUGUUGUCAACUAUUUCACAUCACUUUAUAAGUGCAAUUAAUUUUUGGAGUUCUUUU